AUGAAGUUGGAAUUGCUAGUAAUCGCAGAUCAGAAUGCUGCGGUGAAUACGUUCCCGGGCCUUGUACACACCGCCCGUCACACCAUGGGAGCCGGUAAUACCCGAAGUCAGUAGUCUAACCGCAAGGGGGACGCUGCCGAAGGUAGGAUUGGCGACUGGGGUGAAGUCGUAACAAGGUAAC
rnacentral:rRNA from 1 species